rnacentral:rRNA from 1 species
UACGUAGGGUGCAAGCGUUGUCCGGAAUUAUUGGGCGUAAAGAGCUCGUAGGCGGUUUGUCGCGUCUGCUGUGAAAACCCGAGGCUCAACCUCGGGCCUGCAGUGGGUACGGGCAAACUAGAGUGCGGUAGGGGAGAUUGGAAUUCCUGGUGUAGCGGUGGGAUGCGCAGAUAUCAGGAGGAACACCGAUGGCGAAGGCAGAUCUCUGGGCCGUAACUGACGCUGAGGAGCGAAAGCGUGGGGAGCAAACAGG